UCACUUGUCUUCACUGCAGCAUGACUAAUAGAAACUUUCAGCUUUGCGUGCAUAUAAAAGCCCCUACAUAAGAAGACUUUGACAUUCUUCCUCAACACACAGAACCCCGAGAUCCAAACGCAAGAUAGAAAAUAGUGGCAAAGAUGUUCGUGAAAGCUAUGGUUGUUUUGGCCCUGGUGGUCUGCAUGGUGCAAGCCAAGCCAAGCUAUUUGGAACUGAGGCGUCGCGUGGAGGCCUUGGAAGAGGCAGUCCGUCCCAAAAGGUUUACAAAAUGCAGUGAUGUAUUAGGAGAGUGCAAGUCCCCUCCCUACUGCGAUUUGGGAAAUGGUUUUCAUACCGUGGAUGCUUAUUGUGAUACCUUUGGGGAUGUCUGUUGUAGGUACUUUCGCUUGUAAUUUCAAGACAGCGCAAAAGUAAGAACUGUCAAAAAGCCCACAGGUGAAGUCGGCCAGCACUUUGAAGAAUAAAGCUCAAGUUUGUUUUAAAACGAUGAAUAAUAAACGAGAUGUUUUGUAA